UCCUUCAUGACAACAGAACCCACAACAACCAUGACUCUGAUCACCAUCUUCAUCUGGACUCUAGCUGUCUACAUACAGGAGUCCAGAGGACAGAUCACUGUGACUCAGACUCCUGCAGUGAAAGCUGUUCUCCCAGAACAGACAGUCUCUCUGCAGUGUAAAACCAGCAGUGAUGUGUAUGGAGAUUGUUACAAUGGUCAAUCAUCAGGUCACCAGUGUCUAGCGUGGUACCUCCAGAAACCUGGAGAACAACCCAGACUCCUGAUCCACACUGUUAAAACCCUCCACACUGGGACUCCAUCUAGAUUCAGUGGUGGUGGAUCUGGGAGUGACUUCACUCUGACCAUCAGUGGAGUCCAGGCUGAAGAUGCAGGAGAUUACUACUGUCAGAGUUUACACUACCCUAACAGUGUGUACGUGUUCACACAGUGA